rnacentral:lncRNA from 15 species
AUGCAACUCAAAGUAGUGAUGAUUUAUUGUGUGUUUGAUGGUUGCAGGAGGACUGCUGCUGAGGCUCUGUGGGAACUAUGGAAGAGUCUUUCCAGUCUUACUGUUGACUAUAAAUAUCUGCAGCGUCAGUGGAGGACAUCAUCUCCUCUGACAGACGUCCUCAGCAGUGGACUGAAAGUCCGUCAGAGCAGCUGCACAAUAUUUUAAUAAUCCUACUUAUUCAUUACUGCUAAUCCUUCUGACUGAUUGGCUGCUGAUACAUGAUCAAUUAUUCUAAUAUUUAACUCUGGUA